UGAAGGUUGGAUUCAGUCAAAAGGCCUACACUUGAGGACCUAGACAGCCACGUGUGGCCUUGAAGCCACAGGAUCCCCACCUCUGCCCUAAAUCUUUGCUGGUUAACUUUGGGGACCAAUGGACUGUAUGAUCUUAAAUCAGUAAACAUUAUUUAUAUAAAUGAAAUCUAAACCAUUUCACCCUAUUUUAGCUCUGGUAUCUUAACUAGAUGAAGAUAGGUCUUAAUCAAUCAAUUAAAAGACCACAGACUAAGAGUGAAGAGGUUUUGAAAACCUCUGGAUGAAGUGAAAUGAUGCCAGACAGGAAGUCAGUUCUAAUUAGAGGAAACUUAGGCAUGCCCAGAGAUCAUCUAUAAAUUAUCAAGCAAGUGGAAAGGCGAUUGAAUUCCAGAAUUGGAGCCUAUGGCAUUCUGAGGAAUUGCCUAGAAGGAGGGAGACUCCCAUUCCCCCAAAUCCCUCCUCACAGGUGGGGGCAUUCCAGUUUAGAAGGAUUUGGAGAACAUUGGAUUUCCCAUCAUGGUCCAAAACUACAUCUUCUCAUCAGCUGUAUCAUGCAUCAGGAGCCAUGGCCAAAUGGAAGAUAGGUCUUCUAUGCUUAAGGGGAACUUCCUGAGCUCUCUACAGAGAAGAGAAAAGGACUUCAAGCUACAGGGAGCUGUGUGAGUUAUUCCUUUGACGCAUGUGCUAAGUUUGAGGCCACUCUUCCCCAGACUCUGUACCACGGUUAUAACCAUCUGUGCUACUGUACCAUUUUGGAAAAUGUCCCUUUCCCAAAACAAAACAAAAAAAACCAACAACUGUUUGACCUGGCUAACGAAAUGAUUCUCUGCUGAUAAUCUUCGUGGGAGACACAUCUUGUUGGGGCUUCAAGGUUACCCCUAGAACGCUUCAGGGAAAGACACAGCCAAACUCUGAGGAUUUGACUUUUCGAUGGUAGUGGGAAUUUGGAUAAAUAUCCUUGGAGCUUUCAUGGAGUCAUUGAAGUCCAGUGGCAAGACAAAAGUCAGAAGACUGGCAAAGACCCAGGAUACAGUGGAUGACCUUCGUGUCUUUUUUGUCUACCAAGCUCUGCUGGCUUCAAAGCCUUGGAAGAAGUUGUUCUUAUCCACCUAUUCCACUGGGGAAAUCUUCACCUUUUUGGGGUAGACAUUACAAAGGUAGACAAUAAAAGGGUGGACAUUCAAUGACAAUAAAAUCGAGUACCAAGUGGAGGUAAUUACAAGACAAAAGCUUGGCCUUUACUCAAGUUUCUUGGAAUUGUAGUGGUGAAGUUACAAAAGUAUGCAGUUUGGACUUCCAUGGCCUUAGGACAGUAUUAAAUACAUGCCAGCUUGAUUAAGUCUUAAAAAUAGAAUUAAAAUAAGUUUCCAAUUUUACAGUCCCCUUCUCUCCACUCAAACAGCCAUCACUCUAGUUUAGAGUCACCUUUUGCCUGGUCUAUCAUAAUAGCCUCCUAAUUGGUCUUCUUGCUUAAAGUUUCUCCUCACAACCUCUUGACAGCUGCCAAUGAUUUUCCUAAAGCAUAAGUCUGAUCUUAUCACUCCUUCUUCAGUACACUGUAGGGGUCCUGUCUUGUCUCCAGGAUAAGAUAUAAAAUCCUCUGUUUGGCAUUUGAGGUUCUUUACAAACUAGCCCCUUCCUAUUUGUCCAGUUUUCAUACACAUUAGCUCCCUUCACAAACUCCAUGACAAAAUGAUACUGAUUUACUUACUGUUCCUUGAACACAUUCCAUCUGCUGACAUCGUACCUGUUCAUUGGCUGUCACCCAUGUUCAGAAUGCUCUGUGACUUCUCUUAUCUGCCUUUUGAUAUUCCUAAAUUCUUUCAAGCCGCAGCUCAAAUACCGUUUUCUGCAGGAGGCCUUCUGGUCUCCCUUGUCACUUGAGCCAUCUGGUUUAUGCUUAGUAUGUAUUUUGCAUGUACCUCUUUGUUUACAUGUUGUCUUCCCUAUUAUAAUGUAUGUAAGUUCCUUGAGGGAAGGGACAUUUGAGGUUUUUGUCUUUUUUGUGUAUCUCUAGUAGUUAGCACAGUCCUUGACACAGAGUAAACACUUAAAUGUUUAUUGGUUGCUUGACUGCUUGAUACUCAAGAAUUUGACUUUUUAGUAAUAAUUCCAUUUUAUAUAUUUUGCUUACUGUAUAUUUGUUCUGCUUAUCUUUCUAAUUUCAUGCAGAUGUUGUUUCUCUGAACUCCUCAAAUAUAUUUAUCAUUUUUAUUA